rnacentral:rRNA from 1 species
CCUACGGGUGGCUGCAGUGGGGAAUUUUCCGCAAUGGGCGAAAGCCUGACGGAGCAAUACCGCGUGAGGGAGGAAGGCUCUUGGGUUGUAAACCUCUUUUCUCAAGGAAGAAGCAAUGACGGUACUUGAGGAAUCAGCAUCGGCUAACUCCGUGCCAGCAGCCGCGGUAAUACGGAGGAUGCAAGCGUUAUCCGGAAUGAUUGGGCGUAAAGCGUCCGCAGGUGGCAAUGCAAGUCUGCUGUCAAAGGCUGGGGCUUAACUCCAGACAGGCAGUGGAAACUGCAUCAGCUAGAGUGCGGUAGGGGCAGAGGGAAUUCCCGGUGUAGCGGUGAAAUGCGUAGAGAUCGGGAAGAACACCAGUGGCGAAAGCGCUCUGCUGGACCUGCACUGACACUCAGGGACGAAAGCUAGGGGAGCGAAUGGGAUUA